rnacentral:rRNA from 1 species
CACGUAGUUAGCCGUGGCUUCCUCCUCAGGUACCGUCAUUAUCGUCCCUGAAGACAGAGCUUUACAACCCGAAGGCCGUCAUCACUCACGCGGCGUUGCUGCAUCACGGGUUUCCCCCAUUGUGCAAUACUUCCCCACUACUGCCUCCCGUAGGAGUCUGGGCCGUGUCUCAGCCCCAAUGUGGCCGAUCACCCUCUCAGGUCGGCUACGCAUCGUCGCCUUGGUGAGCCGUUACCUCACCAACUAGCUAAUGCGCCGCGGGUCCAUCUCAUAGCGGAUUACUCCUUUAAUGCUGUACCAUGCGGUACUACAAUCUUAUGCGGUAUUAAUCUUCUUUCGAAGGCUAUUCCCUCUAUGAGGCAGGUUACCCAGUGUUACUCACCCGUCCGCCGCUAAUCAUUCCCCGAAGGUAAUUCAUCGCUCGACUUGCAUGUGUUAGGCACGCCGCCAGCGUUCUCCUGACGCAGGAUCGAAACUCUCUUCGAGACGUCGCCGAAAC